rnacentral:rRNA from 1 species
CACCGCGGUUAUACGAGAGACCCAAGUUGAUAAGCCCGGCGUAAAGAGUGGUUAUGGAUAACACAAAACUAAAGCUAAAGACCCCCUAGGCUGUUAUACGCACCUGGCGGCUCGAGUCACCAACACGAAAGUAGCUUUACCCCCUCUCACCAGAACCCACGACAGCUGGGGCA